rnacentral:tRNA from 1 species
GACCGAAUGGCGUAGUGGUUAGUGACCCUGACUUUUGAGCCGAUGGUCCCGGGUUCGAUUCCCGGCUGGGGCA